rnacentral:lncRNA from 1 species
GGCGCCCCUCCCCAAGCCUGGCUGCCGCCUUGCAGUUUGAUCUCAGACUGCUGUGCUAGCAAUCAGCGAGACUCCGUGGGUGUAGGACCCUCUGAGCCAGGUGCAGGAUAUAAUCUCGUGGUGCACCGUUUUUUAAGCCCGUCGGAAAAGCGCAGUAUUCGGGUGGGAGUGAUCCGAUUUUCCAGGUGCCGCUCGUCACCCCUUUCUUUGACUCGGAAAGGGAACUCCCUGACCCCUUGUGCUUCACAAGUGAGGCAAUGCCUCGCCCUGCUUUGGCUCACGCACGGUGCGCGCACCCACUGACCUGCGCCCACUGUCUGGCACUCCCUAGUGAGACGAACCCGGUACCUCAGAUGGAAAUGCAGAAAUCACCCGUCUUCUGCGUCGCUCACGCUGGGAGCCGUAGACCGGAGCUGUUCCUAUUCGGCCAUCUUGGCUCUUCCCCCGGUAUUUUGCCACUCUAUCAAGAAAGUUAAGGACUCUCAAGCUUUUGGAUGCUUAGAAAAUACAUCAGAGGAGGACAGAAACUCAGAUAUCUCUGCAUCCUGAAUUCAUUGGUGGAAUUGCUACUGUGCCCAGUAAAAGCAUUUCAGUCAUGCAAGGAGAGGAUGUUAAGGUAAAGGAAUGAAACCGAAGACCAGAAAGUGGUAAAAAGCAGCAGUGAAGAAACCAAAACUAAAACAAACCAGCAAAGACCAUAUUCAGCUCACAGCCUUUCAGGAACUGAAGUAGAUCAUUGGCCCAGACUCUCCACUGAAUCCGAAGAAUGCUUUGCAGGGGAUGUUCAGAGGCUUACCUGAGAAUGAGAGAAAAAGAAAUGAGCAAAUGACUCCUGAUUAUCAGUGGGAGACAGGAAGCGACCAUUUAACAUCCAAAGGAAAACUCAGAGCAUUAAAUGUAUCUUUGCCGGUCUUCACCAAUCCAUUUUGGAAUGAAC